rnacentral:snoRNA from 1 species
CGGAAUGAAACUGUAUUACAAACCAGGGAUUAUGAUGAAUCCAGUUCUGUCCACCUGAGGUCCAAA